rnacentral:rRNA from 1 species
UGGGGAAUAUUGCACAAUGGGCGCAAGCCUGAUGCAGCAACGCCACGUGAACGAUGAAGGUCUUCGGAUCGUAAAGUUCUGUUGCAGGGGAAGAUAAUGACGGUACCAUAGGAGGAAGCCCCGGCUAACUACGUGCCAGCAGCCGCGGUAAUACGUAGGGGGCAAGCGUUGUCCGGAAUCACUGGGCGUAAAGGGUUCGCAGGCGGAAAUGCAAGUCAGUUGUGAAAGGCAGAGGCUCAACCUCUGUAAGCAAUUGAAACUGUAUUUCUUGAGAUGUGGAGAGGGAAGUGGAAUUCCUAGUGUAGCGGUGAGAUGCGUAGAUAUUAGGAAGAAUACCGGUGGCGAGAGAGACUUGCUGGACACAAACUGACGCUGAGGAACGAAAGCGUGGGUAGCAAACAGG